UACGAAGGGGGCUAGCGUUGCUCGGAUUGACUGGGCGUAAAGGGCGCGUAGGCGGUUCGUACAGUCAGACGUGAAAUUCCUGGGCUCAACCUGGGGGCUGCGUUUGAUACGUGCGGACUUGAGUGCGGAAGAGGGUCGUGGAAUUCCCAGUGUAGAGGUGAAAUUCGUAGAUAUCGGGAGGAACACCGGUGGCGAAGGCGGCGAUCUGGGUAGAUACUGACGCUGAGGUGCGAAAGCGUGGGGAGCAAACAGG
rnacentral:rRNA from 1 species